GACGAACGCUGGCGGCGUGCUUAACACAUGCAAGUCGAACGGAAAGGCCCUGCUUGCAGGGUACUCUAGUGGCGAACGGGUGAGUAACACGUGGGUGAUCUGCCCUGCACUUCGGGAUAAGCCUGGGAAACUGGGUCUAAUACCGGAUAGGAGCCAUCUUUAGUGUGAUGGUUGGAAAGUUUUUUCGGUGUAGGAUGAGCUCUCGGCCUAUCCGCUUGUUUGUGGGGUAAUGGCCUACCAAGGCGGCGACGGGUAGCCGGCCUGGGAGGGUGGACGGGCACAUUGGGACUGAGGUACGGCCCAGACUCCUACGGGAGGCAGCCGUGGGGAAUAUUGCCCAAUGGGCGCCAGCCUGAUGCAGCGACGCCGCGUGGGGGAUGACGGCCUUUGGGUUGUAAACUCCUUUCGCUAGGGACGAAGCUUUUUGUGACGGUACCUAGAUAAGAAGCACCGGCUAACUACGUG
rnacentral:rRNA from 1 species